CAGUCGCCACGGUAAUACGUAGGUGGCAAGCGUUGUCCGGAAUUAUUGGGCGUAAAGGGCUCGCAGGCGGUUUCUUAAGUCUGAUGUGAAAGCCCCCGGCUCAACCGGGGAGGGUCAUUGGAAACUGGGAAACUUGAGUGCAGAAGAGGAGAGUGGAAUUCCACGUGUAGCGGUGAAAUGCGUAGAGAUGUGGAGGAACACCAGUGGCGAAGGCGACUCCCUGGUCUGUAACUGACGCUGAGGAGCGAAAGCGUGGGGAGCGAACAGGAUUAGAUACCCGCGUAGUCCCUGUCUCUUAUAC
rnacentral:rRNA from 1 species